GGGUGCGAUCAUACUAGCGUUAAUGCACCGGAUCCCAUCAGAACUACGCAGUUAAGCGCGCUUGGGCUAGAGUAGAACUGGGAUGGGUGACCUCCCAGGAAGUCCUAGUGUUGCACCCU
rnacentral:rRNA from 1 species